UACAGAGGGUGCGAGCGUUACUCGGAAUUACUGGGCAUAAAGCGCACGUAGGCGGUUCGUUAAGUCAUGUGUGAAAUCCCCCGGCUCAACCGGGGAAUUGCGCCUGAUACUGGCGGGCUAGAGAUCGAUAGGGGUGAGUGGAACUCCAGGUGGAGCGGUGAAAUGCGUAGAUAUCUGGAGGAACACCGGUGGCGAAAGCGGCUCACUGGAUCGAUACUGACGCUGAGGUGCGAAAGCUAGGGUAGCAAACGGG
rnacentral:rRNA from 1 species